CAAUUCCUACGGGAGGCAGCAGUGGGGAAUAUUGCACAAUGGGGGGAACCCUGAUGCAGCGACGCCGCGUGGGUGAGGAAGUACUUCGGUAUGUAAAGCCCUAUCAGCAGGGAAGAUAAUGACGGUACCUGACUAAGAAGCCCCGGCUAACUACGUGCCAGCAGCCGCGGUAAUACGUAGGGGGCGAGCGUUAUCCGGAUUUACUGGGUGUAAAGGGAGCGUAGACGGCUGGUCAAGUCUGAAGUGAAAGCCCGGGGCUUAACCCCGGAACGGCUUUGGAAACUGAGCAGCUAGAGUGCUGGAGA
rnacentral:rRNA from 1 species